rnacentral:misc_RNA from 1 species
CCGAGUGAGGGCCCCAAGGCCCGACCUCCAACCCUUUGUAAUUCAAAACCUCUGUUGCCUCGGGGGCGACCGUGGCCUCGCGCCGCGGGCCCCCGACGGACCACUUUAAAACACUGCAUCUUUGCGUCGGAUUAAUAAAGGAAAUAAAAUCA